GACGAACGCUGGCGGCGUGCUUAACACAUGCCAGUCGAACGGAAAGGCCUGCAUUCCCUUGUGGAUUGCGGGUACUCGAGUGGCGAACGGGUGAGUAACACGUGAGUGAUCUGCCCCCAACUUGGGUAUAAGCCUGGGAAACUGGGUCUAAUUCCCGAUAGGACUGCAGGGUGGUGCCUGUGGUGGAAAACGAUUUUCUAGUGGUUGGGGAUGAGCUCGCGGCCUAUCAGCUUGUUGGUGGGGUAAUGGCCUACCAAGGCGGCGACGGGUAGCCGGCCUGAGAGGGUGGACGGCCACAUUGGGACUGAGAUACGGCCCAGACUCCUACGGGAGGCAGCAGUGGGGAAUAUUGCACAAUGGGCGGAAGCCUGAUGCAGCGACGCCGCGUGGGGGAUGACGGCCUUCGGGUUGUAAACUCCUUUCGACCGCGAGGAAGCCACCUGGUUGGAAGGGUGGUGACGGUAGUGGUAGAAGAAGCACCGGCUAACUACGUG
rnacentral:rRNA from 1 species